rnacentral:rRNA from 1 species
CAGUAGCCGCGGUAAGACAGAGGAUGCAAGCGUUAUUCGGAUUGACUGGGCGUAAAGCGUCUGUAGGUGGCUUUUCAAGUCCGAUGUCAAAUCCCAGAGCUUAACUCUGGACAGGCAUUGGAGACUACCAAGCUGGAGUAUGGUAGGGGCAGAGAGAAUUCCCGGUGUAGCGGUGAAAUGCGUAGAGAUCGGAAAGAAUACCAACGGCGAAAGCAGUCUUCUGGGCCAACACUGACACUGAGAGACGAAAGCUAGGGGAGCAAACGGGAUUAGAUACCCCAGUAGUCCCUGUCUCUUAUAC